GUCUUCCAGCACUGGCGUUAUCACUUCAUUUGUUCACCCAGCUUUUAGCAUGAGUUCUGGGGAUGUGAACUCAUACUUUAUGUGUGUGCAGCAAGCACUACAUCAACUGAGCCAUCCUCCAAGCACACAAAGAAGUGAAUUUCCUAAUGAUUUGCUUUCAAGCACAAUCUUUGGCCAGUAUGGCCAGUACAAAGAGUCCUUCAUUCUUGGAAAGGUGGAACUUGCAAAAGUAACAUCAGACAUUCAUAUCCUAAAGUGAAGAAAAUCGUAAUUUACUUCACUCCAAUUCUAAGGGUAACAGUGAUGCAGAAAGGAAUCUGGUACCAGUUGGUUAUUUUGUCAGCUUGAAUCAUCCGGUAAACAAGAAUGCCAGCUCUAGGUACUUAAUCCUGAUAUAUAUAUCAAGAUGGCAAAGAUGAGCAAACCAGUCCAGAGUUCCUUCAGAUGGACAAAGUACACUUGUGCAAAGGGUCUGACAGGAAGGGAAUGAAGCUUAUCCAGGAACGUAGGUUGCACAGAACCUUGGUCAAUGAUAGCGUGGUUGAACAACAGACAACAUUAAAUGUCUCUGUAUCUCUAUAAUUCUUCUGGAGCAGAAGGAUCUGUACUCAAAUUGGAGAGUCUCUAGUGGUAUGAUGAUUAUCAGAACCACAGGCUGACAGUUCCAAAAAUAUCCAUUUGUAUGAGUCUUCGAAAAUGUUUGGAGGAAUGUGAGAAUGAAGUUUAGACCUUAACU
rnacentral:lncRNA from 1 species